UUGCUAUCUGCGAUAUAAAAGAUUCGAACCUGCAGCAGGUUCGGGUCGAACGCAGUGAGACAACGGAGCCGCCUGCGGCGACGGCCCGAAGGGCGAGGCGAAGCCGAGUCAUCCUGCACGACCCACCA
rnacentral:sRNA from 2 species